AUUACCUCAUUCCUUUUUUCUUUGUUUUGAUCUGCUGUGUCAGCCUAGGCAGGUAUUCAAUUUUUCUCAUGACAAAGUCCCUCAGUCACCUUUGCCCCCUUAGGGACUUGCGACAGUUUCUCCAACAAGCUCUUUAGUAGCCCUGUCAAGGAGCAAACGUUUUUAUUGGAACAGCAUGAAAUGUAAUAUUACUCAUAGAUUCUGUCAGAAAAUUAGUGGUAUUGAAAACGAGCUCAACACAGCUGGGUAAGAUUACACCACCUCCCUGGAAGCAGUAAGCUGAGGGACUAUGGGGAGUCAUAAUGGUCUAAUGAUGGCUAAUGGUGAGGAAAUGAUGGACCCGAGGCCCAUAAAUCAAUCUGAAUACAGGGAUGGUUAACAGAAUGCUCAGGAGAUGCUUGAGCUCAUCUGAGCAUUGUUCACAUAUAGGUGUCUCUUACUGGACCAUUAUUUUUUUGUUACACAAGGGGAAAUUAUGACAAUGUGUAUGUAGAAAGUACCAGAAGGCUAAGAUAUUUGCAGAUUGGCAAAUAGGUGGAGAAAUGUGAAGUUUAUCUUUGGGUUCCAGAAUGCCAAGCCCAUGGUUCUUUCAGGCUUAGAACUGAUUUCUUGUUUUAGGUAUUUGCCAAAAUCAGGAUGGCUCCAAUUUUUAGUGUUGGUCUAAUUUUUCUUUGUAUGCAAUGACCAAAGAGGUGGUCCUAAGAGAGCAAGAGGUUAGAGUUUAGUUAAGAAUUCAUAUGAUUGCCUUUGCAUUUUCCAAUCCAACCAAUAUUACUACCAUUUCUGAAAACCCCCAUCAGUUUCAGUUCUCCCUGUAUUUUGCAAGGUUCUUUUGUUUCAAGUAUUUAUUGUUUAGGAGCAGUCAAAUGAAAAAUUUGACUAUAACCAUGGAAAGUUUUAACAGUGGGAUUUUUCUAACUCCUUUAAUAGUUUCCUCUGGAGUAGAAAUGAUUGGCAGCAAUGAUGUAAAGUCAAAACUCCAAGAUUCACUUGAGGCAGAGUCAAGAUGUAGCUCCUUCUUUCUGCUCUUUUAUAGAAAUAUUAAACAAGGUGUUGUCACACCUUUAUGCAGAUGUUUCAAAUGUGAAUUUUGCAAGUGUGACAUGUUAUAUUUGUAGAAAUAAUAUCAAACAUCUUCUAGAAAAAAGGAAGCACAUAUAUCUUGAGGUGAUUUACUUGAUAAUGAUAGUUAACAGUCAUAAUUUAUUAUUUCUAUUUUUCCCCAAACAUAAUUUUUCUUUUUUUUAUUGGAAAGAUUUGGGGAGAGUCAGAGGUUUCAGAAUGGAUGGUGUAUGUGCCCAAGGGACUCCUCAAAGAUACCCACAUAUGGAAUUAUAACAAUUACCUUUUUUUAGGAUUGAAGACAAUGACAAUGCACAUGUGGGAGACUCCACUAAAACCUUCAUUGUGAUCUCUGCAUUAGAAGAAGCCUUUUCUGAGGUGUGGCUCCCUGUGUUCCUAGAGGAGGGUGCCAAACAGCCCCAUGCUCUGUUGAUGCCUGAUGGAGGAUGAAGUAAAUACCAGCUGGUGUAGAAUGAGUGGAAUAUAAUUACUCUCCACAAAGUUAAGUGAAUAUUAAAACACAGAAGUCACAGGCACUGGCACUCAUCCCUCCUCAAUUCCACUGCCCAGUAAAUAGCAUCCUGACCUGAUGCUGGCUUCACGACAGCUUCCAGCAGGGAUCUCAGUACUGGGCCUGCUUGUCAGCAGUGCGGAAGCAGCUGGAACACAGGCUGCUGAGAAAGGCAGGAAGUAGACCCCCUUCCAGGAGCAUGGGGAGAGUUCCCUGAUGCCUGAAACAGGCCGUGUGAUAUCGUGAGAAAAAUGUGGCUCUGGAGCUGGAGAGACUAAUUCCUGUGUUUGAAAUUUACAAGCCACGUGAUCUUCGUCAAGGUCUUUCUCUUCUCUUCUCUGUACCUCAGUUUACUUACCUAGAAAACAAGGGCAACGCUGCACUCUGUGAUGAGAGACUUGUGCUUCAGAAGUUGUUGAACAGAGUUUUGCAUGGCAACAUGGAGGCACAGAUGGAAUGUGACCCGUAGAGGGAUUGGAUCAUUCCUUUGAUGCUGCCUUUCACUGGCCCUGGUGAGCAACCCUCAGCCACGUUCACGGCUUUUUGACACGGCAGUUCACCCGAAAAGAACGUGGUGUUCUUCCAAGUGGCACCCACCCUGCGCCCGACCACGGCAACAGGCGCUGUUCCUCUGAAUAUAUCAUCAUGUAGAAGAGCUUGCCUGGGCCUCCACGAGAGAGAGAGCGUGCGCACACAAGCAGGGAGAGCAACA